rnacentral:lncRNA from 13 species
CAGCGACCCGAGUAGCUCCGACUUAAUAGUACUCUUAUAUCAUGAGUUUGACAAGAGUGGAUGGGAAAUCGUAGCUUCGUCAUAAUCCAAUGCAACCUGGGCACAAUAGAGGGCCUAAUCUGUGGAAAUUUCGACAGCCGCGUCCUUAGAAAGUAUUCUCGAGGUCGCCGUUUGGAAAUUCACGUGGAAGAAGCGGUGCGAAAUUUUCUUUAAGGAUUUUUUUCCAAGCAAAUAAGAUUUUUACGAAUAAUUUCGAAUGAUACAGACAUUCCGAGGGACUCAUAAUUUUUUACAAUCGCGUUUAAGAUCUCAUUUCACGUGGAUAUUUAACUCUUGGCCUAAUU